rnacentral:rRNA from 1 species
GGUUAAGCGACUAAGCGUACACGGUGGAUGCCCUGGCAGUCAGAGGCGAUGAAGGGCGUGCUAAUCUGCGAUAAGCGCCGGUAAGGUGAUAUGAACCGUUAUAACCGGCGAUACCCGAAUGGGGAAACCCAGUGUGACUCGUCACACUAUCAUUAACUGAAUCCAUAGGUUAAUGAGGCGAACCGGGGGAACUGAAACAUCUAAGUACCCCGAGGAAAAGAAAUCAACCGAGAUUCCCCCAGUAGCGGCGAGCGAACGGGGAGGAGCCCAGAGCCUGAAUCAGCAUGUGUGUUAGUGGAAGCGUCUGGAAAGGCGCGCGAUACAGGGUGACAGCCCCGUACACAAAAGCGCAUGUGCUGUGAGCUCGAUGAGUAGGGCGGGACACGUGGUAUCCUGUCUGAAUAUGGGGGGACCAUCCUCCAAGGCUAAAUACUCCUGACUGACCGAUAGUGAACCAGUACCGUGAGGGAAAGGCGAAAAGAACCCCGGCGAGGGGAGUGAAAAAGAACCUGAAACCGUGUACGUACAAGCAGUGGGAGCACCCUUUGGGUGUGACUGCGUACCUUUUGUAUAAUGGGUCAGCGACUUAUAUUCUGUAGCAAGGUUAACCGAAUAGGGGAGCCGGAGGGAAACCGAGUCUUAAUUGGGCGUUAAGUUGCAGGGUAUAGACCCGAAACCCGGUGAUCUAGCCAUGGGCAGGUUGAAGGUUGGGUAACACUAACUGGAGGACCGAACCGACUAAUGUUGAAAAAUUAGCGGAUGACCUGUGGCUGGGGGUGAAAGGCCAAUCAAACCGGGAGAUAGCUGGUUCUCCCCGAAAGCUAUUUAGGUAGCGCCUCGUGAAUUCAUCUCCGGGGGUAGAGCACUGUUUCGGCUAGGGGGCCAUCCCGGCUUACCAACCCGAUGCAAACUGCGAAUACCGGAGAAUGUUAUCACGGGAGACACACGGCGGGUGCUAACGUCCGUCGUGAAGAGGGAAACAACCCAGACCGCCAGCUAAGGUCCCAAAGUCAUGGUUAAGUGGGAAACGAUGUGGGAAGGCCCAGACAGCCAGGAUGUUGGCUUAGAAGCAGCCAUCAUUUAAAGAAAGCGUAAUAGCUCACUGGUCGAGUCGGCCUGCGCGGAAGAUGUAACGGGGCUAAACCAUGCACCGAAGCUGCGGCAGCGACACUGUGUGUUGUUGGGUAGGGGAGCGUUCUGUAAGCCUGUGAAGGUGUGUCGUGAGGCAUGCUGGAGGUAUCAGAAGUGCGAAUGCUGACAUAAGUAACGAUAAAGCGGGUGAAAAGCCCGCUCGCCGGAAGACCAAGGGUUCCUGUCCAACGUUAAUCGGGGCAGGGUGAGUCGACCCCUAAGGCGAGGCCGAAAGGCGUAGUCGAUGGGAAACGGGUUAAUAUUCCCGUACUUGGUGUUACUGCGAAGGGGGGACGGAGAAGGCUAUGUUGGCCGGGCGACGGUUGUCCCGGUUUAAGCGUGUAGGUGUGUGUUCCAGGUAAAUCCGGUUCACUUUAACACUGAGGCGUGACGACGAGGCACUACGGUGCUGAAGCAACAAAUGCCCUGCUUCCAGGAAAAGCCUCUAAGCAUCAGGUAACAUCAAAUCGUACCCCAAACCGACACAGGUGGUCAGGUAGAGAAUACCAAGGCGCUUGAGAGAACUCGGGUGAAGGAACUAGGCAAAAUGGUGCCGUAACUUCGGGAGAAGGCACGCUGACACGUAGGUGAAGUGAUUUACUCAUGGAGCUGAAGUCAGUCGAAGAUACCAGCUGGCUGCAACUGUUUAUUAAAAACACAGCACUGUGCAAACACGAAAGUGGACGUAUACGGUGUGACGCCUGCCCGGUGCCGGAAGGUUAAUUGAUGGGGUCAGCGCAAGCGAAGCUCCUGAUCGAAGCCCCGGUAAACGGCGGCCGUAACUAUAACGGUCCUAAGGUAGCGAAAUUCCUUGUCGGGUAAGUUCCGACCUGCACGAAUGGCGUAAUGAUGGCCAGGCUGUCUCCACCCGAGACUCAGUGAAAUUGAACUCGCUGUGAAGAUGCAGUGUACCCGCGGCAAGACGGAAAGACCCCGUGAACCUUUACUAUAGCUUGACACUGAACAUUGAGCCUUGAUGUGUAGGAUAGGUGGGAGGCUUUGAAGUGUGGACGCCAGUCUGCAUGGAGCCGACCUUGAAAUACCACCCUUUAAUGUUUGAUGUUCUAACGUGGACCCGUUACCCGGGUUGCGGACAGUGUCUGGUGGGUAGUUUGACUGGGGCGGUCUCCUCCUAAAGAGUAACGGAGGAGCACGAAGGUUGGCUAAUCCUGGUCGGACAUCAGGAGGUUAGUGCAAUGGCAUAAGCCAGCUUGACUGCGAGCGUGACGGCGCGAGCAGGUGCGAAAGCAGGUCAUAGUGAUCCGGUGGUUCUGAAUGGAAGGGCCAUCGCUCAACGGAUAAAAGGUACUCCGGGGAUAACAGGCUGAUACCGCCCAAGAGUUCAUAUCGACGGCGGUGUUUGGCACCUCGAUGUCGGCUCAUCACAUCCUGGGGCUGAAGUAGGUCCCAAGGGUAUGGCUGUUCGCCAUUUAAAGUGGUACGCGAGCUGGGUUUAGAACGUCGUGAGACAGUUCGGUCCCUAUCUGCCGUGGGCGCUGGAGAACUGAGGGGGGCUGCUCCUAGUACGAGAGGACCGGAGUGGACGCAUCACUGGUGUUCGGGUUGUCAUGCCAAUGGCACUGCCCGGUAGCUAAAUGCGGAAGAGAUAAGUGCUGAAAGCAUCUAAGCACGAAACUUGCCCCGAGAUGAGUUCUCCC